GUUCCACAAUAUAAAUGUAUUUUUGAAUCCCGUCCGUUGGCUGUGUGUCUUAGUUGUUUGAUUUAGAGUCCGCUUGAAACACUAUAAUGAUCAUGUUUCAUCAGCCAGUUACCGUGCCACUUGCACAAGUUACUGCAUAUCAGCGCACGGGUCCACUACGUGACAAACCCUAUGGAGAGUACCACGUGACAUGUGUGCAUAUUUCAACAGAGUGACGAUGUAAGUGAAGAAAUAGAUAGAAUAGAA